rnacentral:rRNA from 1 species
CCCUUAGAUAUGCUGGGCGGCACGCGCGCUACAAUGGGGAGCGAAAUACGCAGCUCCCUUGCAAUGGGGAGCUAAGCGUGGAAACGACGCCGUGAGUGGGAUAGUUGUCUGAAAUUUCUCUACUUGAACGUGGAAUCCCUUGUACGGACUUCCUAGAAUGGAGUUUGGAAUACGUCCCUGUGGAAUGUACACACCGCCCGUCGUUUCUUCCGACUGAUGUUUGAUGUGAGUGGCAAGGAGGCAACGGAAAUGUCGCAAAUAUUUGAUGUUGGAGGAAGAAAAAGUCGUAACA